AACAACCUCAAGGAGCACGGUAGGUGGAGCUCAGGUACCACUUCACACUCUGCCGUUUAGAAGGAUGUGGGGCUGCUUUUAGGUGAUCCUUUCUAUGCAAAGAACUUGCCUCAGAGUUGAAACUCAUGCAGAUGUGAAUAAGUAUGAAGACAGAGCUAUUCUUGAGAGGAGGCUUUAGGCCCAUCCUGUCAGUGGGAGAGAUGCAAAGGUGCUUUGGAAGCUGCUUUUGGGAAGAUCUGGAGUCAUUCGAAGAAAACUACAAAAAUGAUAAAGCAUUUCUGAUUGGAUUUACCAUACCCUCCACUCUCUCAGGAACAAAAUUUCUACUGCAUUUUGAUUAUUCUGCCAAAUUACAGAUCUGCAAGCUUUGUGUCUUUAGGAGCUCUUUUUGUUUUACGUACAUGAACUCUGGAGUCAAAUUUUGGCUCAGGCACUUUUUGUAAUCUUGCACAGGCACAGAAAAUGUGAAGACAAUGCCUUGAGAUUUGCAAGUUGCAAAUGGGGGUUUGAAAGUGAGAGCAUGGUGAGGAGAUAGCAUUGAAUACAAAUCAUUGGGGUUACUUUCUAGACAUCGCUCUACAGGACACCUUCCAUAGUUCAGUCAUCUACACUGCCUUGAGGAGAGGCAGGGACACAAGGUGAGAGAGCAAAGCAGCUAAUGUUCCAUCUUGGGCUUUUAAAAUAAGCUUGGGAUGCCAGCCUCAGAAACUAGCAAACCGGCUUUGAUAGCCAAAACUUUUCAUUUGCAAGAGUGACUUCGAGGAGAAAAAAAGGGGAGUGCUCUUACGAAUCCAAGCAUAAAGCCCUCUAGGAGAGAAUGUGGCAAGUGUGUGCUGUAGCAACAGAUUACAAAAGAAGACUGAGAGAUUCAGACAAUGCCCUUCCUGCCAAGAAUGGACAAGAUUAGGGUGACCACAUAACCUAAGGUCCAAAUGGGUCACUGUUGAGAGUAAAAGCGGCCAUUAUACAUCAUUUUACUGGGUCCAAACAGGCAGAAUAGGACUGACCUGCGCAAAUUAGGACAUGUGGCCAUCUAGUCAAGGUGCACUGGGCUGGGAAAAGGGAACAGGAGCUGGAUGGGGGGGAGGAAUGAAAUCUGGAGCACGACUUGGAGGAAAGCAGGAUCAAUAGAAAGAGCCCAGCACCAUCUCUUGCCAGCACCAGAGGGCUGUGGGAGACCACAAAGGACCAGCAGGGCAUCCAUCAACACUAGAGUUAACCCCACUUGUCACCUGCCUGAUGAGCCAUGUAGCCCUCUGGGGAGAGCCUUCCACCUGUAUCUGCCAGCAUAUUGCUGGUGCAUCUUCCAGCAGCCAUGGUGGCCGCUCGUCCCGUAGACUUUGCUGAGCCACAUUCAAAUUUCCCCACAUGGCCAUUCUGUCAACAGCCCAGGACAUUCAGAAGCCUCCAGGAGGAGAGAGACAUAUGGAUGGGGGAGUCCCCAG
rnacentral:lncRNA from 10 species